AUUACAAUAUAAGAAAUUCAUAGUACCUGGUAAAGACCAAGUUGCCCAUUCUUCAAAACCUGCCACCUGUCCAAAACAGGGGUAUUUGAUGUCCAAAAAAAUUGAAAUUGAACUAAAUGUUGAAGAAACUAAGCCAUAUUGAUGAGUAACUAAGCCAUUUUUAUGUUUUGUGAGACAAAAGGUAACCAGAUGUGCAAGCCAACCAAGCCAUUGUCCUGUUCCCAACUGAUCCAGUUUUGUCUCAAUGGCAAACUUUAUGUCACAUCACUACUUUUGCAAGGAAAGAAACAAAAAACUGUCCAAACUGAUUUUCUUCCCUCUCAAAGCAUCACUCUCACAGUAACCAACACAAAGUUAUUGGGAGCAAAUUCUCAAUUUCAAAUUUCAAAUUUCAAAUUAAACAAGGAUAUAUAUCACUCAAUACUCUCUCAUCAUUCUCUCCUUUACCUUUUAACUCUUCAAUCUCAUAUUUUUUUCAUUUAUCAUAUUUUGUAAUCUUCUCAAUUUACUAAUAUUGGUUUCCUAUUCUUCUUCUUUUUCUUUUUGCAGAAUAGGUGUUCUAAUGUUACAAGAAUAAAGUAAGCAAUGAAAUUCAUUUAUUCUUUACAAAGAUCUAUAAAAAGCAUAGGAAAACUCAACAUUAAUCUAAAACGUUGUGAAAGAGAAGAUAAUGAAAAUAAAAAAGAUGAAGGUUCCACUAAAUGAAAGUGAAGGGUUCCAAGAAAGAAGAGAAACGCCAGAAAUUAGAUUAGUCUCAAGGAGUAUAAAUAUUGAAAGUGCAAAAUGAGAAAGAGAUGGUGAGGGAUAUGCACGUGAAUGAAGACAGUGGCUUGAGAUCUAGAAAAUUUGUUUUAACUUCAGAUGUAGAAGAAAAACAAAUCUGUACCAAAAAAAAAAUCAACUCUUUCUCAUUCAUGAACUUAUUUUAUUUUAUAAGUUUUGAUUAUUUAACUUUUAUUUAUAUAGAAAAAGAAAGAAGAUGCAACAUAAGAAAAAUAUUAAAAAAAAAUUAUAUAAACUUAUUUAGAUAAGCAAAGAAAUAAAAUAAAAACUAAAUUACUACACGGGAAAGAAAAUAACAGAAACAUAUAAAGGUAAAUAAAAAAUAUACAUUAUUUUUCCUAUAAAUUUCACAGAUCCAAACAAAUAAAUAACAAAAAAAAAUUAUAUAAUUACAGUAGUGAAAUCAUGGGAAAUAUAUUCAAAAGAUUGGCAUAACUUCUACAAACAGAGGACAGAAAAACAAUUUACAAAGAUAAAAAAAAAAAUCAAACCAGAUAUGAUUUUUUCCCCUUUUGUUAUCUUUGAUCUUGCUUCUUGGAUGUAAAAGAAAAGUGGAGAAGAUGAAGUCCCACAAUGUUUACCGGCACGGUGGCCACCGACGAAGGUGUUCCGAUCUUAAAUUUUCUUUGUGGGUUUUGUAAAGGAGGUGAAGGAGAUUCUUUAUAUGGCGAUGGUAUUUCAAAAAAUUGUCUAUGGAGGUCAAGAUCUAGGAGAGAAAGUGGAAAUUAAGAUUUAAAACACAAAUCUGUGAAAGGGUGAAGAAAUAUAACAUAUUGGCCGUGAGAAGAAGAAGAAGAGAUGUUGAUGAAGGAGAGCUUAUCAUAAUGAAUGAAGAUGUUGAAAAAAAAUAAAAAAACAAA